GGGCGCAAGCCUGAUGCAGCCAUGCCGCGUGUAUGAAGAAGGCCUUCGGGUUGUAAAGCACUUUCAGUCGUGAGGAAGGUGGUGUAGUUAAUAGCGGCGAUUAUUUGACGUUAGCGACAGAAGAAGCACCGGCUAACUCCGUGCCAGCAGCCGCGGUAAUACGGAGGGUGCGAGCGUUAAUCGGAAUUACUGGGCGUAAAGCGCAUGCAGGUGGUUUGUUAAGUCAGAUGUGAAAGCCCGGGGCUCAACCUCGGAAUAGCAUUUGAAACUGGCAGACUAGAGUACUGUAGAGGGGGGUAGAAUUUCAGGUGUAGCGGUGAAAUGCGUAGAGAUCUGAAGGAAUACCGGUGGCGAAGGCGGCCCCCUGGACAGAUACUGACACUCAGAUGCGAAAGCGUGGGGAGCAAACAGGAUUAGAUACCCUGGUAGUCCACGCCGUAAACGAUGUCUACUUGGAGGUUGUGGCCUUGAGCCGUGGCUUUCGGAGCUAACGCGUUAAGUAGACCGCCUGGGGAGUACGG
rnacentral:rRNA from 1 species